AUUGAACGCUGCGGCAUGCUUUACCCAUGCAAGUCGAACGGCAGCGCGGGCUUCGGCCUGGCGGCGAGUGGCGAACGGGUGAGUAAUACAUCGGAACGUGCCCAGUAGUGGGGGAUAGCUCGGCGAAAGCCGGAUUAAUACCGCAUACGACCUGAGGGUGAAAGCGGGGGAUCUUCGGACCUCGCGCUAUUGGAGCGGCCGAUGGCAGAUUAGCUAGUUGGUGGGGUAAAGGCCUACCAAGGCGACGAUCUGUAGCUGGUCUGAGAGGACGACCAGCCACACUGGGACUGAGACACGGCCCAGACUCCUACGGGAGGCAGCAGUGGGGAAUUUUGGACAAUGGGCGAAAGCCUGAUCCAGCAAUGCCGCGUGUGUGAUGAAGGCCUUCGGGUUGUAAAGCACUUUUGGCGGGAACGAAAAGGACUGUGCCAAUACCACGGUUCGAUGACGGUACCCGCAGAAUAAGCACCGGCUAACUACGUG
rnacentral:rRNA from 1 species